GAUCCCAAGCCGAAGGUUUGAGUUUCCUUUUUCAGGCCUUCCAAGCACCACUAUACGUGCUUGUAUACUCUGCCAUUGCGGUGGACACGGCAAAAGGUUUUUUAUUGUUUGAUUGGCGUGGCGAGUCUUGGAUAUUGUCUAUAUUUCGUGCUAAACGUGAUUGCACCCUGCCAAGGAUG